rnacentral:rRNA from 1 species
UACAGAGGAGCCAAGCGUUGUCCGGAUUGACUGGGCGUAAAGCGCGUGUAGGCGGCUAAGUAAGUCGGGCGUGAAAUCCCACGGCUCAACCGUGGAAGUGCACUCGAAACUGCAUAGCUAGAGACCUGGAGAGGAAGGUGGAAUGCUUGGUGUAGAGGUGAAAUUCGUAGAUAUCAAGCGGAACACCGGUGGCGAAGGCGGCCUUCUGGACAGUGACUGACGCUGAGACGCGAAAGCGUGGGGAGCAAACAGG